rnacentral:misc_RNA from 1 species
UUGCGCGGCAAAGGGGAGUAACUUCAUUGCCGGUCUGCCGUCAUUACGGUGCGAAAGCACCCGGUUACCGGGCAACCUCAUUAAUGUUGCGGCAUCUGUUUAGAUGCUUCUAUACCCAAAAUAAUUCGAGUUCAGGAUGAUGGGUAUGCAUUAAUAGAGUUGUAAGUGAGACCUUGCCGGAAGG